UAAGAAGUCCCGCCUGCCCCGUGACACAAGUUUAACGGCUGCAGUAAUAUAACUGUACAAAGGUAGCGUAAUCACCUGUCUUUUAAUUGAAGACCUGUAUGAAUGGCAUCACGAGGAUUUAACUGUCUCUACUUUUCAAUCAAUGAAAUUGUUUUUCCCGUGCAAAAACGGGAAUAUAUCUAUAAGACGAGAAGACCCUGUGGAGCUUUAAGUAACCCAGGAAUGUAUUAAAACAUACAUUUUACCUAAAACUUACUUUUGGUUGGGGCGACCAUGAAGAAAAAAAGAACCUUCAUAAGGAACGGAAGACUCCUAAAACACGAACGACAGUUCUAAUUAACAGAAUUUCUGACCACCUAGACCCAGCAUUAGCUGAUUAAUGAACUAAGUUACCCCAGGGAUAACAGCGCAAUUUUCUUCAAGAGCCCCUAUCGACAAGAAAGUUUACGACCUCGAUGUUGGAUCAGGACAUCCCAAUGGUGCAACCGCCAUUAAAGGUUCGUUUGUUCAACG
rnacentral:rRNA from 1 species